AAUUUUGGGCCCAAAAGUUUCCCGGGUUCUGAAAACAAGCGGGCUUUCCUUUUUCUUUUCUUUUUUUCUUUUUGCCGGGCUUCCGACCCCAAUCAACACACAUACAUUAUUAUUACUAAUAUUACGACUUAUAAUAUUAUCACAUACAGUUUUUUCUAAAGAUCGAAGCUCAGCGCGAUCGACUACCACUGAGGCGAGAAAGACGGGAUCCAAGAGAGAUUAAAGCUAUAGAGAAACUCUCGAGCUCCCAGAUUUCAAGCUCCAAAAACCAUUAAAUUGGUCGGACAAUAUUCAAGGCAAGGGUACUAGUGAUAGGUGGAGGAAGAAUAGUAGGUUUUGUUGCAGUUCAACUUGCUGUGGCCGCAGGCUGUCAUGUGUCAACAUGAUGUGGUGUUGAAAGUAUUGAUCUGCUUUUGGCAGCUGGUGCAGAGCAGGCUAUUGAUUAUACUUUUGAGGUGCUAGACAAGUAGACAUGAGUUAUUCAUUAAUGAUUCUAUACUUCUGAGGUGCAUAUAUGAAAUACCAUUUAAAUGUUAUUAUAUGUUAAAACAAAAGCAAGAGUGCUAAUUACUUUGCAUUUAGUUUGUCUGCGCAGAAUGGACAGCGACUCGCCACAGGAAAAACUAUCAUUAUGGUCUUGGUGUUAAAAUUGCAUUUAGUUUUUAAAUAUGAAAGUCUGUGUUUGGUAAAUCACUUACAAGGUGAAUAACGUAAUGUAAGCCUUCGUAGCAGAGUGUGCUAUAAGUAUCUAUACUUGUUGUGAAUAUAGCUCGGAUUAGGUACCUCUACUCAAACUAUAUCAGCUGGCAGCAGUUGCUUUUUGCUUGCUUGUAGCAUGGGUUCGUUUUUCUACUAAAUUUCCUUCUCUUAGUUUCCUGCUGAUUAUACUCUCCUUUAAUCGGAUGCUACUUGAUUUUCUCUUGUUCGCAAUUAUGUUUCAUGAUGGAAUUCUUGCAUGAUCUGAGGAGCAUUUUUACACAUGAAAUUAAGUACCAAGUAAUUUUGUAGGAAUUUAAGUCUUCUGAUCUUACAUGUAUGUGCACAGAAAAGUUAAUCUACUAAAGUUUUGUGGGGGUGAAAUGAAAAUCGUAGAAUCUUUUCUAUAGAAUUAGUGGAAACGCGUGAAGCUUCCUCAAAAGUUGAAAAAUUAAAUGUUGUAGCAGUAUUUGGUUCAAUGGAAUAUAACUGACCAUGUUGUAUUUAGUUCAAUGGUAUUUAACUGACCAUGAUGUACAACUUUCUUGCUUUAAACUUUUAUAUGUAAAGCUCCUUUAGCACCUGUUGCAUAGCAGCACACCAACAUGAUAGUGUAAUAUGUCAAAUUGCAUCUUUAGCAUAUUCGUUCUUUUCAGAUAAAUGUUUAAACUAGUAUAAAUUAUUCGUUCCUGGUGUCAUUUCAGUGUAGUGAUAAGCUGGGUUUAAUUUUUGAGCUAGGUUCAUUCGCUGCUGGAGUGAUGAUAGCAACAACUGAUCUUGCUCAACAUACACUUGAACAAGAUACUUUUAGGAAGAACGUGUUCAGAAGAUCGAGACAGAUAAAAGGGCUGCAGGAAUUUUGAUAUAUGUUGCUCCCCAAUGUUUAAAAUAGAUGAAUUGGAAUCACAUGUUCAUAGGAACCAUGGCGACCUUCUUAUAGUACAGAGACAAUGAAGGAAGAAGAAAAUGAGUGGGAGGAUCCCCAGUGCCAGGAAAGCGGUGGCUUCGGAGUCAACUAUUCAAGCACCACCAAGUCGAUUCCAUAAUGCCUUCUUUUAACUUAAUAAUUUUAAUUACCUACGUCUAACUAGAUUAACUCUUUUGUAUAAAUUAUGCCUUGACUUAAUGGCUAAUUUAUGUAUGCGACUCAAAUUUGGAACGAAUUUGUAAGACUAUAUUGUCACGGUCAUGGUACCGCUUUUGGAUUGUUGGCUACUUGAUGCUAAUUAGAAUUCUGAAUUGACAGUUAAA